rnacentral:rRNA from 1 species
UACAGAGGGUGCAAGCGUUAAUCGGAAUUACUGGGCGUAAAGCGUGCGUAGGCGGUUAUUUAAGUCGGGUGUGAAAGCCUCGGGCUCAACCUGGGAAUUGCAUUCGAGACUGAAUAGCUAGGGUACGGUAGAGGGAAGUGGAAUUGCCGGUGUAGCGGUGAAAUGCGUAGAUAUCGGAAGGAACAUCAGUGGCGAAAGCGGCUUCCUGGACCAGUACCGACGUUCAGGCACGAAAGCGUGGGGAGCAAACAGG